rnacentral:misc_RNA from 1 species
GAAAAUCCUUAAAAUUUUUGUACUUUUCCAAAAGCAAUGUAUGUCCUUGCAUUCUUAUAUUAUUGUUUUCAAGUUUACAUGGUAAGAAUGCUUUUAAGCCAAUUUUUUAAAAUUGUAUAAUCCAUUUUUCCUGACGGCCAUUGUCAGCUGCCAAUUUAAUUAAUGCACAUUCAACAUUUUGAUGAGGAUUUUUUGCUUUGAUAUCAUGUAACCUGAAGGGAAGGACUGCUUUCAAGUUUUCUAGUUCAUGGAUGUUCUAUCUGCACAAAUUAGUUUUGAUCUUGGAUAUUAAAGUAGUGUUUGAAAUUACCAUUGGUUUGUUAGUGCUUUUUUUUUCCUCUGUUGAGGGUCUUCAUUGAUAUGGAA